UGUUGGAACAAAACGACGAGGAGACGCCGAUAACAAAUGUGCUCGAGUUGUCUAACGAUCUGUAUCACUGAUUCCUAUUGACAACUAAACCAACUAUGAAAGCAAUGUGCCUUCAGGCGAUGACUAAAGUUUAUGGAAAAUAUCACGAAGAGAUUGG
rnacentral:lncRNA from 1 species